CCUACGGGAGGCAGCAGUGGGGAAUAUUGCACAAUGGGGGAAACCCUGAUGCAGCGACGCCGCGUGAGUGAAGAAGUAUUUCGGUAUGUAAAGCUCUAUCAGCAGGGAAGAAACCCACCCUCCGGGGUGGCUGACGGUACCUGACUAAGAAGCCCCGGCUAACUACGUGCCAGCAGCCGCGGUAAUACGUAGGGGGCAAGCGUUAUCCGGAUUUACUGGGUGUAAAGGGAGCGUAGGUGGCAAGGCAAGACAGAUGUGAAAACCCGGGGCCCAACCCCGGGAGUGCAUUUGAAACUGUCUGGCUAGAGUGCAGGAGAGGUAUGUGGAAUUCGUAGUGUAGCGGUGAAAUGCAUAGAUAUUAGGAGGAACACCAAUGGCGAAGGCGGCUUACUGGACUGUAACUGACACUGAGGCUCGAAAGCGUGGGUAGCAAACAGGAUUAGAUACCCCAGUAGUC
rnacentral:rRNA from 1 species